UGUUUCGAAGCAUGAUUACUACGGAGCC
rnacentral:piRNA from 1 species